UACGGGAGGCAGCAGUAGGGAAUCUUAGACAAUGGGGGCAACCCUGAUCUAGCCAUGCCGCGUGUGUGAUGAAGGCCCUAGGGUCGUAAAGCACUUUCGCCAGAGAUGAUAAUGACAGUAUCUGGUAAAGAAACCCCGGCUAACUCCGUGCCAGCAGCCGCGGUAAUACGGAGGGGGUUAGCGUUGUUCGGAAUUACUGGGCGUAAAGCGCACGUAGGCGGAUUAGUAAGUUAGAGGUGAAAUCCCAGGGCUCAACCCUGGAACUGCCUUUAAUACUGCUAGUCUUGAGUUCGAGAGAGGUAAGUGGAAUUCCGAGUGUAGAGGUGAAAUUCGUAGAUAUUCGGAGGAACACCAGUGGCGAAGGCGGCUUACUGGCUCGAUACUGACGCUGAGGUGCGAAAGUGUGGGGAGCAAACAGGAUUAGAUACCCUGGUAGUCCACACCGUAAACGAUGAAUGCCAGACGUCAGCAAGUAUACUUGUUGGUGUCACACCUAACGGAUUAAGCAUUCCGCCUGGGGAGUACGGUCGCAAG
rnacentral:rRNA from 1 species